CCCCCGCCGCAAGUGGAUAAUAUUAAUAGUGUAAAAAUAUACAAGUGUUCGGUAAACAGGAAGUUGUCGAGUGAUGAAUCUGAAAACGCAUCACACGGUAUAGCUGACUUAUAUAAAUCCUGAAACCAAAUUUCAGAAAUCCUUGUAUUGUAGUUCCUGAGAAAAAUGUGACGAAAAUUUUCAACUUGGCUAUCAUGUGUAAAAUCAUACAAGUGUUCGGUAAACAGGAAGUUGUCAAGUGAUGAAUCUGAAAACGCAUCACACGGUAUGGCUGACAUAUAUAAAUGUUGAUACCAAAUUACAGAAAGGGUGGAUGUGUAGUUCCUGAGAAAAAUGUGACGAAAGUUUCAUGGGACGGACUGACUGACUGACGGACGGACUGACGGACGGACUGACGGACGGACGGACUGACAGACAGAGGUAAAACAGUAUACCCCCCCUUUUUUAAAGCGGGGGUAUAACUACCUUGACCAAAAAC
rnacentral:lncRNA from 1 species